rnacentral:rRNA from 1 species
UACGGAGGGAGCUAGCGUUGUUCGGAAUUACUGGGCGUAAAGCGCACGUAGGCGGCUUUGUAAGUUAGAGGUGAAAGCCUGGAGCUCAACUCCAGAAUUGCCUUUGAUACUGCAUGGCUUGAAUCCAGGAGAGGUGAGUGGAAUUCCGAGUGUAGAGGUGAAAUUCGUAGAUAUUCGGAAGAAACACCAGUGGCGAAGGCGGCUCACUGGACUGGUAUUGACGCUGAGGUGGCGAAAGCGUGGGGAGCAAA